AUGAGCUCAUCAUAUGUCCCAUGGGCUCCACGAUCCACUUCUUUCUGCUGUCUCACCAAUCAUCUUGGUUUCUCCAUUUUGCACCCCCAAUUCCCCAUCGCCUUGCCGCCUCCAGCUUCCAAGCUUCAUCAAUCGGGUUCCAACGCCUUCUGCAAUCUUCCUCGAUGUGUUUUUAUUUCUACUCCUUCUGUAAAGAAAUAUAAAACGUUUAGAUCACCAAACUAG
rnacentral:rRNA from 1 species